CCUACGGGUGACAGCAGUGAGGAAUAUUGGUCAAUGGACGAGAGUCUGAACCAGCCAAGUAGCGUGAAGGAUGACUGCCCUAUGGGUUGUAAACUUCUUUUAUAUGGGAAUAAACUGUUCCACGUGUGGGCUUUUGUAUGUACCCUAUGAAUAAGGAUCGGCUAACUCCGUGCCAGCAGCCGCGGUAAUACGGAGGAUCCGAGCGUUAUCCGGAUUUAUUGGGUUUAAAGGGAGCGUAGGUGGAUUGUUAAGUCAGUUGUGAAAGUUUGCGGCUCAACCGUAAAAUUGCAGUUGAAACUGGCAGUCUUGAGUACAGUAGAGGUGGGCGGAAUUCGUGGUGUAGCGGUGAAAUGCUUAGAUAUCACGAAGAACUCCGAUUGCGAAGGCAGCUCACUGGACUGCAACUGACACUGAGGCUCGAAAGUGUGGGUAUCAAACAGGAUUAGAUACCCGUGUAGUC
rnacentral:rRNA from 1 species